rnacentral:rRNA from 1 species
AAAACGGAGAGUUUGAUCCUGGCUCAGGAUGAACGCUGGCGGUAUGCUUAACACAUGCAAGUCGAACGGAAUCUUUAGGGAUUUAGUGGCGGACGGGUGAGUAACGCGUGAGAAUCUAGCUUCAGGUCGGGGACAACCACUGGAAACGGUGGCUAAUACCGGAUGUGCCGAAAGGUGAAAGAUUAAUUGCCUGAAGAUGAGCUCGCGUCUGAUUAGCUAGUUGGUGUGGUAAGAGCGCACCAAGGCGACGAUCAGUAGCUGGUCUGAGAGGAUGAUCAGCCACACUGGGACUGAGACACGG